rnacentral:miRNA from 1 species
UACCUCGCCGGCUGGAAGGAAGCCCUUCCGGUCGAUGAGGUACAAGUACCUCGUCGACCAGAAGGGUGUCCUUCCAGUCGACGAGGUA